AGUCGAGCUUGGUUGGAGGACAGGGAGCAGGCAGGGGAGGGUGGUAACAAGAGUAGAGGUCAGGGCGGGAUCAGAUCAUGAAACACCUUGCUGCUGCUGCUGCUGCUGCUGCUAAGUCACUUCAGUCGUGUCCAAUUCUGUGCGACCCCAUAGAAGGCAACCUACCAGGCUCCGCCAUCCCUGGGAUUCUCCAGGCAAGAACACUGGAAUUCUGGCAUCACCAUUCAAAGAUUUCAGUCAACCCCUGGAGCUGAAUGAUUCUAAAAGAUUACCAUUCCCAUUAAUUUUGUCCAAGUGUUGGAGAACUGCUGCUGCUGCUGCUGCUGCUGCUGCUGCUGCUGCUAAGUCGCUUCCGUCAUGUCUGACUCUGUGCAACGCCAUAGACAGCAGCCCACCAGGCUCUGCCAUCCCUGGAUUCUACAGGCAAGAACACUGAAGUGGGUUGCCCUUUCCUUCUCCAGUACAUGAAAGUGUAAAGUGAAAGUGAAGUCACUCAGUGGUGUCGGACUCUUCGUGACCCCAUGGACUGUAGCCCACCAGGCUCCUCCGUCCAUGGGAUUUUCCAGAGUACUGGAGUGGGGUGCCAUUGCCUUCUCCAAUUAGAGAACUACUGGUGAAAAAAAAAAACCACCCACCUUGGCCAGGCAUGAUGAUAAUCGCUUGUCUGAGUUGCCUCACAAUAGGAGGGAAGUACCAAUAAAGAAUGUGGUACUUUCACCAAAAACAAACCGGGAGAAUUUGGGAGGGCCCAAAAGGAGUGAGGACGUGCCAGUCCAUUGUAGGACUAAAACGAACCCAGCAGAAUUUGGAAGGGGCCAAAAGGAGGAAGGAGGAGAGACAAUAUGUCCUGCCAACCUCCCAGAAACCCUUGCACUGGACUCCAUCUUGGCUGAGAGAUGCACAUGCCAACAGGAAGGUCUCCGAGUCAGAAUGAUUGACCAGAGACAACCUGGAAACUAAGCCCAUCACCGUAAAACGUGAGGCUGUGAGCGACAUGGCAGAGCAGUCCUCUGGUUUCCAGUAACCUACUACUCUCCACCCCUUCCUAAUAAAAGCUCUGGCUUUGUCACCACGUGUGUCUCCUCAGACAAUGCGUUUCCGAGGGUCAGACAAGAGCCCACUCUCAGACCCUGGAAGGGGUCCUCCUUCCUGC
ensembl:lncRNA